AGAAAAUUUAUUUAUGCAUUAAAAGUGCUGAAUAUAAAAUAUAAAACGAACGUUUUCUGACAAUUUAAAUUUUUGAAGAAAAGAGUUUGUUUCAAAUUAUUUAGCAUGAUAUCAGAGCAAAAAAAUUUUAGUUUGAAUUACUUCUUAAGCCUACCAAAAUAUUUAAAUUUAAAUAUGUAGCUAGGGAAUAACAGUUGUUUCACAUUAUUCAACAAAAUGUUAUGUAGAUAAGUUAGAUAUGUGGAAAGUACCUAAACUUCUUAUCGAUAAAAAUUGGUCCUUGCAUUUGUCACUUAUAAGUAUAGUUUAGGAUCAAAUUAUAAUUAAGGUAAAAAAAUAUGCAGAAUUUACUUGAAAUAUGAACCAUUUUGAGUUUGCUCUCCAAUUACCUUUCAAAGUUUUGAUUUGCUAUUUAUUUUUUUCAAUUUGUUUGAUGUGAGCCGGUCAACGGCACUUUAACUUUGAAAUUUGAAUGCAUCUUUAAAUAUCUUUACAGAUUUAGUUAAUAUAUUUUAUGUAAUUUUCAUAAGUAUAAGUUUAUUAAAGUAAGUUAUAUAUUAAUCAGCUUAAAUUUUUAAAGUCAAAAUACUAUUAACUGAUUCAAAUUAAAUAAAUUAAAGAUUGAAUAGUAAUAUAAAAAUUUUGAAAGAUUAACUAGUCGACUAUAAAAAUAAUCUAUAGUUUAUGUAAGUUAAGUGUAAUUUUAUU
rnacentral:lncRNA from 1 species